rnacentral:lncRNA from 1 species
CCUCUGUCUCUUGCCUCAGUGCCUGGGUGGCUUGCCGCCCACAGACACCAGCGUCUACUCCUCAGCCUCAUCCGACUGCUGUGGCUGCUCCAUGCCUGUGCUGUGCAUCAUGGGCCACAAGCCUCAUGUGACUGUUGACACCUAAACUCACUCAUGCCAGCUAAACUCAUUCACGCCAGUUAAACUCAUUCAUACUAGCUAAACUCAUUUGUACCAGCUAAACUCACUCACACCAGUUAAACUCACUCACACCAGUUAAACUCAUUCGUACCAGCUAAACUCACUCAUGCCAGCUAAACUCACUCACGCCGGCUAAACUCACUCGUACCAGCUAAACUCAUUCGUACCAGCUAAACUCAUUCAUACCAGCUAAACUCACUCAUGCCAGCUAAACUCACUCACGCCGGCUAAACUCACUCAUACCGGCUAAACUCAUUCGUACUAGCUAAACUCAUUCGUACCAGCUAAACUCACUCGUACCAGCUAAACUCACUCACACCAGCUAAACUCACUUGUACCAGCUAAACUCACUCAUGCCAGCUAAACUCACUCAUGCCAGCUAAAUUCACGCCAGCUAAACUCACUCGUACCCGCUAAACUCACUCAUACCAGUUAAACUCACUCAUGCCAGCUAACUCACUCAUGUCAGCUAAACUCACUCAUGCCAGCUAAACUCACUCAUGCCAAUUAAACUCAUUCGUACCAGCUAAACUCACUCAUGCCAGCCACACUUCAGGUGCUCACUGGCCGCCCAUGGUUAGCGGCCACUUCCGGCCCAGCAUGUGCUGCUCUCUGUCUUCUGGUGGGCGUGCAGUGGAGGCUGCCUGUGCUCUGAUUCUGUCUUCUUGAUGAACUGUGAGGCCGAGCACCUUGGAUAGCCUUCUUUGUCUUUUGCCCAUUUUCCUCUUAGCUUUCAUUUUCUUAUUAUUAAUAGGAAUUCUUUAUAUAUUCUCUGUAUGAUUCCUUUGUCAAGUAUGUAU